rnacentral:miRNA from 1 species
ACCUUGUGUGGUUCUCGCCAGC